CGCUAGUGCGCGAUGGGACAAGGACAUCCCUGCCUGCCUAACCCGGACGACGCUGGGCCAAUUGUGUGCCAUGGGUCUCCCGUUCGCAGCCAGCUGUGACAGAGCCUGGACUCGAACCCAGAAUCUCUAGUGGCACUGCAAAUAAAACAAUCUCGGUCGACCAACAGCAAACAAAUCGAAUAAUUGGGGUCUGCCCGAACACUUUUCAAUGCGCUGACCUCGUCAUGCUGAUCAGGGUGAAAUUCAAUGGUGAACGAAAAUAUGUGAAGAUCAUUGACCUGACACUUGAAAAUCUUUUGAUUGGAGUUUCAGAGGCAAAGCUGUGUGAUGGGUCUGGAACUUAAGUUGAUUAUAUUAUAUAUUAUAUUAUGAGGAGAUGGUGACACGGCCAGACCUUGGUGUUUUCAAGCUCACGCUGACCAAUGAUGCUAAAGGUAUGUGCUGGUUUUCAAGUCUUGGUUACUUGUGGCAUCACUUUCAAUAUAACCAUACAUUUGACAUGCCUGUAUUGACAUCUUUGUGUAUUUAAGAUGUCUCUGGCAGUACUGUGAUGGGUGGUUCAGACCAUGAGUCAGUUGAUACGAUCAUAUUGAGCGAGGAUGGAAGCCCCUCACGAAAGCGUCAAAGAUAUGAUGACGAAGCAAAACAUGCACGUUUGUAAUUCAUUCUUCAAUUCAAGUGGCAUCAAAUGGAUUUUUCACUGCUGUUUUUUUUUUUACAACUAAUAGAGAGCAUACUGAAGAAAAAGCCUGGUGGAGAGGUUGUCAUCAAGGAAUACUCCAAAACUAAAAGCCUGACUGACUGCACCAGACUAAAGAUGAUCAACAUUCUUGUUUCGGCGAUGACGGCGACUCAUGGGACAUCACCACCGCGUGAGAGAAACAUUUGCACAAGGCAUCAUCUCCUUGUUCCUAUACCUGAAGGAUUCCUACACGACAAAUGGAUAUGAACAUUACUACGACCCUAAUUAGUGGAGAAGGGUACCUCUCGUAUAGAAUCAAAACCAUUCAGAGGAAUUUGGCUUCAUCAGAGAAACGGCCCACUCAACUAUACUCUGGAGGGCCAACUGCUUAGAGGGAGUCCAGUCCAUCCACUUUGGCCACCCUGAGGGAAGACCAGUGCAGAGAGGCCAUUUAUCUUAUGAAGCAUUCUUCUGAUGAAGAGUCAAACAGAAGAUGAAAUUGACCUUUGAGUACAGGAAGAUGACCUACAACCCGAGUAAAUGCUCCACCAUCCUAACCGAAUUUCCACGCUUUCUUGAUGUGAAGGGUUUGAUAUUGAACAUGAUUUUGUGCUGCUGUUUGGAGAGGGAACAUCAGUCAAGUUUUUGGAGAGGUGGCCAACUACAUUCAAGCAAAAUAUCAUCCUUCUAAGCAAGACCCUAAGCAAGGCAGAAUCUGCAGUUGAUGAGGGAGCUGAGGGAUGAGGGAGCUGACACGAAUGCUGAUGGUUACCGAAACACCACUUCAUGAUACAUUAUCCUCGUUGUAUGCGCAACGAGGCAAAACAUAAUUUCUUUACAAAGCAACUGAAGAGUUUUAAGAAUUUCACUAUGACCUUAGCCAAGAAACAACAAAAUGACAUGGCAUAUAAUUGGGAAACGUUCAGCCAGGGUAGACUAGCUAUAGGUCCAGGAAAGAUGUCAAGGCUCAAUUAGAUUGCUACCAAGUUGAAUGUCUCAGUGCACACAAAUGUUUUGUCAGUUAAAUGGGUUAAGCACCAUGGUACAGAAUAUCGUCUUGAUUUGGCCAUACUGUAUGUGGUGAAGUAGCCAUUGAAGUGCCAGUAUUUUACAAAAUGAAGGCUAUUGUUCUGAAAGAGGAAAAUGUUUUUUUGGUUAGGUCAGCUCUUGAAAUCUUAUGUUUUGUUGAUCAUUUGCAUGCAUUUGAAGUUGUUUUGAAGCCAAGUCCACCAUGCAAGGUAUUUCAUGUAAAUGACAUCAUGUACCACAAACCUUUUGAUUUGCUCAUGUCAAAUGGAGCAAGGGAUUUUUUUGACUACAUUGUCCCCACCUGUCACUUGAUAACAGUUUAAGCCAGGGCUGAUACUUAUGGUUAGGUUGUGAAAAACACAUUUGUUUUUAAUGUAAACAUCAGCAUUUUCCAACAAACCUAUUGAUUUGCUCAUGUCAUAUGGAGCAAGGGAUUCUUUUGACUAGAUUCUACUCUCACUUGAUAACAGUUUCAGCCAGGGCUGGGACUUAUGGUUUGGUCAUAAUGAACAUAUUUGAAUCUUGAAA